rnacentral:rRNA from 1 species
UCUAUACUAUGUGAAUCAUCGAAUCUUUGAACGCAACUUGCGCCACCUGCCUCGAGCAUCUGGCAUACUUGUUUGAGUAUCAUAUCACUACAUCACACAUGGGUACGUGUGGACGUGAGGUCAUGUGGGUGCAUGUUCUAGUAGUCUACUACUGGGACCCACACACACACAUUUCCUUGAAAUGAGCAGUGUCAUGCAUGACGACUUUGGUGGGAUAACAUCCAGAGUCAGAGUCGUCGGAUCGUGGCACAGACCAGCGGCGAGUGGGGGGUCGUUUCAGCGACCACACAUUCCUCGCACCGUGGGCAGACACACAUACAAUGGCGAGGGGCGUAUGCGUAUGUCGGCACACCUGUUUCGUGAUCUCAAAUCAAGUAAGAGUACCCGCUGAACUUAAGCAUAUCAAUAAGCGGAGG